CUUACUCGCCGCCGUCGAUGUCACCGACCUCUGAAAUGAAGGCGAUGACAUCAUCGACGACGAUGAUGAUCUCUCAGAACUGGAAACAAACUUCAACGGUCUGCUGGAGGUGGAGCUACGGCAAUCUCCAACCAGGAUCUCGUAGGCGAUUUCCCGAAGCUCUAAUUCCGUCAAGUCCACAUCAAAUUUGCCAAACGGGUAAGGAAAUUCAUCGUCGAAGUAGGAUGAGGGUAAAAAGGGAAUUUUUGGUUUUUCGUGUAAGUUGUUCGUCGUGCUUUCCUCGUGGUACUUGGUUCUUGAUAGUCUCUGUGCCGUUGCAUCUCUGUGAACAUACGGCACCAUAUCCAUGAAGAACCAAUACAAGAGAUAUCAAAGGUGAAAUUUCUGAGACUCCUCCCUGCCGGAGGUGGAGCUACGGCAAGCUCCGAUCAGGAUCUCGUACGCGGUUUCCCGGAUCUCCGAUUCCGUCAAGUCCACAUCCAAUUCGCCAAAUGGGUAGGGAAAUUCAUUGUCGGAGUAGGAGGAGGGUAAAAAGGGAAUUUUUGGUUUUUCGU
rnacentral:lncRNA from 1 species